AACGCACAUUGCGCCCCCUGGUAUUCCGGGGGGCAUGCCUGUCCGAGCGUCAUUGCUGCCCUCAAGCACGGCUUGUGUGUUGGGCUUCCGUCCCUGGUAACGGGGACGGGCCCAAAAGGCAGUGGCGGCACCAUGUCUGGUCCUCGAGCGUAUGGGGCUUUGUCACCCGCUCCCGUAGGUCCAGCUGGCAGCUAGCCUCGCAACCAAUCUUUUUUAACCAGGUUGACCUCGGAUCAGGUAGGGAUACCCGCUGAACUUAA
rnacentral:misc_RNA from 1 species